CGGCAUUCGAUACGGGCGAGCUUGAGUAUGGUAGGGGAGUCUGGAAUUCCUGGUGUAGCGGUGGAAUGCGCAGAUAUCAGGAGGAACACCAAUGGCGAAGGCAGGACUCUGGGCCAUUACUGACACUGAGGAGCGAAAGCGUGGGGAGCGAACAGGAUUAGAUACCCUGGUAGUCCACGCCGUAAACGGUGGGCACUAGUUGUGGGAACCUUCCACGGUUUCUGCGACGCAGCUAACGCAUUAAGUGCCCCGCCUGGGGAGUACGAUCGCAAGAUUAAAACUCAAAGGAAUUGACGGGGGCCCGCACAAGCAGCGGAGCAUGCGGCUUAAUUCGACGCAACGCGAAGAACCUUACCAAGGCUUGACAUAUAGCGAAAAGUGGCAGAGAUGUCAUGUCCGCAAGGGCGCUAUACAGGUGGUGCAUGGUUGUCGUCAGCUCGUGUCGUGAGAUGUUGGGUUAAGUCCCGCAACGAGCGCAACCCUCGUUUCUGUGUUGCCAGCAUUUAGUUGGGGACUCACAGGAGACUGCCCGGGGUUCAACUCGGAGGAAGGUGGGGGAUGACGUCCAAAUUCAUCAUGCCCCUUAUGUUCUUUGGGCUGCCCCGCAUGCUACAAUGGCUG
rnacentral:rRNA from 1 species